rnacentral:rRNA from 1 species
UACGGAAGGCAGCAGUGGGGAAUAUUGCACAAUGGGCGCAAGCCUGAUGCAGCCAUGCCGCGUGUAUGAAAAAGGCCUUCGGGUUGUAAAGUACUUUCAGUCGUGAGGAAGGUGUUAAGGUUAAUAACCUUAGCAAUUGACGUUAGCGACAGAAGAAGCACCGGCUAACUCCGUGCCAGCAGCCGCGGUAAUACGGAGGGUGCGAGCGUUAAUCGGAAUUACUGGGCGUAAAGGGCACGCAGGCGGUUAAUUAAGUUGGAUGUGAAAUCCCCGGGCUUAACCUGGGAAUGGCAUUCAAGACUGGUUAGCUAGAGUCUUGUAGAGGGGGUAGAAUUCCAUGUGUAGCGGUGAAAUGCGUAGAGAUGUGGAGGAAUACCGGUGGGCGAAAGGCGGGCCCCUGGGACAAAGACUGACGCUCAUGUGCGAAAGCU